GUAAAAAGUAGAAUAAUAGAUUUGAAAUAUUUAUUAUAUAGAUUUAAAGAGAUAAUCAUGGAGUAUAAAAAUUAAAUUUAAUAAAUUUAAUAUAACUAUUAAUAGAAUUAGGUUACUAAUAAAUUAAUAACAAUUAAUUUUAAAACCUAAAGGUAAACCUUUAUAUUAAUAAUGUUUUUUUUUUAUUUUUAUAAUUAAGAAUAAUUAUUAAUAAUAAUAAACUAAGUGAACUGAAACAUCUAAGUAACUUAAGGAUAAGAAAUCAACAGAGAUAUUAUGAGUAUUGGUGAGAGAAAAUAAUAAAGGUCUAAUAAGUAUUAUGUGAAAAAAAUGUAAGAAAAUAGGAUAACAAAUUCUAAGACUAAAUACUAUUAAUAAGUAUAGUAAGUACCGUAAGGGAAAGUAUGAAAAUGAUUAUUUUAUAAGCAAUCAUGAAUAUAUUAUAUUAUAUUAAUGAUGUACCUUUUGUAUAAUGGGUCAGCAAGUAAUUAAUAUUAGUAAAACAAUAAGUUAUAAAUAAAUAGAAUAAUAUAUAUAUAUAAAAAAAUAUAUUAAAAUAUUUAAUUAAUAUUAAUUGACCCGAAAGCAAACGAUCUAACUAUGAUAAGAUGGAUAAACGAUCGAACAGGUUGAUGUUGCAAUAUCAUCUGAUUAAUUGUGGUUAGUAGUGAAAGACAAAUCUGGUUUGCAGAUAGCUGGUUUUCUAUGAAAUAUAUGUAAGUAUAGCCUUUAUAAAUAAUAAUUAUUAUAUAAUAUUAUAUAAAUAUUAUAUAAAGAAUGGUACAGCAAUUAAUAUAUAUUAGGGAACUAUUAAAGUUUUAUUAAUAAUAUUAAAUCUCGAAAUAUUUAAUUAUAUAUAAUAAAGAGUCAGAUUAUGUGCGAUAAGGUAAAUAAUCUAAAGGGAAACAGCCCAGAUUAAGAUAUAAAGUUCCUAAUAAAUAAUAAGUGAAAUAAAUAUUAAAAUAUUAUAAUAUAAUCAGUUAAUGGGUUUGACAAUAACCAUUUUUUAAUGAACAUGUAACAAUGCACUGAUUUAUAAUAAAUAAAAAAAAUAAUAUUUAAAAUCAAAUAUAUAUAUAUUUGUUAAUAGAUAAUAUACGGAUCUUAAUAAUAAGAAUUAUUUAAUUCCUAAUAUGGAAUAUUAUAUUUUUAUAAUAAUAAUAAAAAUAUAAAUACUGAAUAUCUAAAUAUUAUUAUUACUUUUUUUUUAAUAAUAAUAAUAUGGUAAUAGAACAUUUAAUGAUAAUAUAUAUUAGUUAUUAAUUAAUAUAUGUAUUAAUUAAAUAGAGAAUGCUGACAUGAGUAACGAAAAAAAGGUAUAAACCUUUUCACCUAAAACAUAAGGUUUAACUAUAAAAGUACGGCCCCUAAUUAAAUUAUAUAAGAAUAUAAAUAUAUUUAAGAUGGGAUAAUCUAUAUUAAUAAAAAUUUAUCUUAAAAUAUAUAUAUUAUUAAUAAUUAUAUUAAUUAAUUAAUAAUAUAUAUAAUUAUAUUAUAUAUUAUAUUUUUAUAUAUAAUAUAUAUAAUAUAAACUAAUAAAGAUCAGGAAAUAAUUAAUGUAUACCGUAAUGUAGACCGACUCAGGUAUGUAAGUAGAGAAUAUGAAGGUGAAUUAGAUAAUUAAAGGGAAGGAACUCGGCAAAGAUAGCUCAUAAGUUAGUCAAUAAAGAGUAAUAAGAACAAAGUUGUACAACUGUUUACUAAAAACACCGCACUUUGCAGAAACGAUAAGUUUAAGUAUAAGGUGUGAACUCUGCUCCAUGCUUAAUAUAUAAAUAAAAUUAUUUAACGAUAAUUUUAUUAAAUUUAGGUAAAUAGCAGCCUUAUUAUGAGGGUUAUAAUGUAGCGAAAUUCCUUGGCCUAUAAUUGAGGUCCCGCAUGAAUGACGUAAUGAUACAACAACUGUCUCCCCUUUAAGCUAAGUGAAAUUGAAAUCGUAGUGAAGAUGCUAUGUACCUUCAGCAAGACGGAAAGACCCUAUGCAGCUUUACUGUAAUUAGAUAGAUCGAAUUAUUGUUUAUUAUAUUCAGCAUAUUAAGUAAUCCUAUUAUUAGGUAAUCGUUUAGAUAUUAAUGAGAUACUUAUUAUAAUAUAAUGAUAAUUCUAAUCUUAUAAAUAAUUAUUAUUAUUAUUAUUAUUAAUAAUAAUAAUAUGCUUUCAAGCAUAGUGAUAAAACAUAUUUAUAUGAUAAUCACUUUACUUAAUAGAUAUAAUUCUUAAGUAAUAUAUAAUAUAUAUUAUAUAUAUAUUAUAUAUAAUAUAAGAGACAAUCUCUAAUUGGUAGUUUUGAUGGGGCGUCAUUAUCAGCAAAAGUAUCUGAAUAAGUCCAUAAAUAAAUAUAUAAAAUUAUUGAAUAAAAAAAUAAUAUAUAUUAUAUAUAUUAAUUAUAAAUUGAAAUAUGUUUAUAUAAAUUUAUAUUUAUUGAAUAUAUUUUAGUAAUAGAUAAAAAUAUGUACAGUAAAAUUGUAAGGAAAACAAUAAUAACUUUCUCCUCUCUCGGUGGGGGUUCACACCUAUUUUUAAUAGGUGUGAACCCCUCUUCGGGGUUCCGGUUCCCUUUCGGGUCCCGGAACUUAAAUAAAAAUGGAAAGAAUUAAAUUAAUAUAAUGGUAUAACUGUGCGAUAAUUGUAACACAAACGAGUGAAACAAGUACGUAAGUAUGGCAUAAUGAACAAAUAACACUGAUUGUAAAGGUUAUUGAUAACGAAUAAAAGUUACGCUAGGGAUAACAGGGUAAUAUAGCGAAAGAGUAGAUAUUGUAAGCUAUGUUUGCCACCUCGAUGUCGACUCAACAUUUCCUCUUGGUUGUAAAAGCUAAGAAGGGUUUGACUGUUCGUCAAUUAAAAUGUUACGUGAGUUGGGUUAAAUACGAUGUGAAUCAGUAUGGUUCCUAUCUGCUGAAGGAAAUAUUAUCAAAUUAAAUCUCAUUAUUAGUACGCAAGGACCAUAAUGAAUCAACCCAUGGUGUAUCUAUUGAUAAUAAUAUAAUAUAUUUUAUAAAAAUAAUACUUUAUUAAUAUAUUAUCUAUAUUAGUUUAUAUUUUAAUUAUAUAUUAUCAUAGUAGAUAAGCUAAGUUGAUAAUAAAUAAAUAUUGAAUACAUAUUAAAUAUGAAGUUGUUUUAAUAAGAUAAUUAAUCUGAUAAUUUUAUACUAAAAUUAAUAAUUAUAGGUUUUAUAUAUUAUUUAUAAAUAUAAUAUAAUAAUUAUUAUUAUUAAUAAAAAAAAUAUUAAUUAUAAUAUUAAUAAAAUACUAAUUUAUCAGUUAUCUAUAUAAUAUCUAAUCUAUUAUUCUAUAUACU
rnacentral:rRNA from 1 species